AACGAACGCUGGCGGCAGGCCUAACACAUGCAAGUCGAGCGAAGCCUUCGGGCUUAGCGGCGGACGGGUGAGUAACGCGUGGGAACGUGCCCUUUGGUACGGAAUAGCCCCGGGAAACUGGGAGUAAUACCGUAUGUGGUCGAGAGACGAAAGAUUUAUCGCCAAAGGAUCGGCCCGCGUUGGAUUAGGUAGCUGGUGGGGUAAUGGCCUACCAAGCCGACGAUCCAUAGCUGGUUUGAGAGGAUGAUCAGCCACACUGGGACUGAGACACGGCCCAGACUCCUACGGGAGGCAGCAGUGGGGAGUCUUAGACAAUGGGGGAAACCCUGAUCUAGCCAUGCCGCGUGAUCGAUGAAGGCCUUAGGGUUGUAAAGAUCUUUCAGUGGGGAAGAUAAUGACUGUACCCACAGAAGAAGCCCCGGCUAACUCCGUGCCAGCAGCCGCCGUAACAC
rnacentral:rRNA from 1 species